rnacentral:rRNA from 1 species
GUCUACAGCCAUACCACCCUGAACACUCCUGAUUUCAUCUGAUCUCAGAAGCUAAGCUGGGUCGGGCCUGGUUAGUACUAGAUGGGAGAAUAGGCAGCUUUUACU